UCCUUUUCUUUUCGUUUUCCCCCAAAAAAUACACAGAAAUUCAAGACAACGCAGAAUUUCUGGGAGAUUGCUGCGACUGAUAAGACAAGCAUGGCCAGAGCGACAAUGGCCAUAUUCACGUUGACGUCACCUUCGCUGAAGCUUCUCAAGCGCUCUGACUUUGUAGAAUUUCAGAGUCUCCAUCAUUGUGUACAGAUAUACCAUCAUGCAUCAUUAACCAAGUUUGGCAACACAACAACCAUUAAUAGAUGCCACAGAAAUUAACAGGCUCUUGCAUUCCUGCAUUUAUUCUCUUGGCAUUUAUUAAUGUAAUAGCAGGACAAAAUAGUAUGCUUCUUGCCUAUCACUCGAGGAGGUUGAGGUAUUUUGAUGGUUCUAGGGAAUCAAGUACCCAUAGCUUCUCUAAGCAAUAUCUGCGACAUUUAGCCAAAUCAGUAUCUGCUGUUCGUUCAGUUACUAUAUCAGGUUUGGAGGCAUCGAUAGCAGAUCCAGAGGAAAAUGCAGUACAUGUUAAAAAUGCGAAGAUUGUUGUUGAGUCUCGAGAUGAUGCUAUGCUACAAGUAAGAGUCGAUUUGGGAGGAGAGGAAACCAGAUUAGUGUUUGAGAAGGUUUUAACUAAUUUGGCCCGUGCAGCUCCACCUGUUCCUGGAUUUCGCAGACAAAAGGGAGGGAAAACAUCAAAGGUCCCAAAAGAUUUUCUACUUCAAAUGCUCGGUGAAGAACGUGUUACCAACUUUGUCAUACAGGAAAUUGUUAGCUCAACCUUGGCUGACUACACAAAGAAGGCAAGUAAAUUCUGGAAAUUCAUUCAGUUACAGAUGAAAAUUUUCCUAUGAACUUCUUACUCCUGUUAAUCCUGCAGGAAAAUCUAACAGUGAAGGGCAACAAGAUUAACACUAUACAAACAGCUGAAGAACUCAGAUCAUCGUUUGUUCCUGGAAAAGAAUUUGGAUUUAGUGCUACACUAGAGCUUGAUAUAUUGACAACCGAAACAUCUAGCCAAUAGCCUUGGAGAGAAACUCCGAUGUGGUCGAAUUCUUUCAUUGAAGAAUGAAGGACAGUAAACACACACUUUUUGAGCUUUUGCUUGAAAUUCUCAAAGGAAAUUGUGUAUACUGGUGUAAUCCAACCAAGUUAAAACUUGAAUAUUAGCAUCUUCAAGCUCAAGGUCAAGCUCGACUUGAAUGUAUCCGCUCAAGGUCAAGGUCAAGUUCAAGCUUGUGCUUGUCGGACUCCUGAGCAAAAUGUUCGAGCUUGAAUCAUUUUGUGAUGUCGAAAGAGCAGCUAUCCCAAUUGCCAUUGGUCCAAGAAGAGUCACCAAAUUUCUUACGUUGAGAUUGAUCAUAUUCUAAUUGAAACGAAUUGUUACAAUUUGUCCCAAUUUGAUCCUAUUCUAAAGAAAGAAUGGUCUACUCCUUUGUUUUUAGGAUGUUAUACUCAAUGUCAUUUAUGCUGUUGCGUUGCUAAA